AUUUGCUUCCCUUUACGUGGCCCCAUUCCUACAUUUGCUCUUCAACCGAGUAGUUUUUUUAUCUUCCUGAGUCGGCAGUUUAGAUAGCUAAUGCGCAAUUGUUUAAUCCAGGACUUGCUUAAAAUAACUUUAAACAAUUUAAAAGGUAAGAUACAUAACAAAUCCUAGGAUUUAUAUGAUUUACAACAAUGAUGUAGUUUCUGCUGGAACAUAGAAGAAUUCAUUUUUUACUAAUGAAACGACAAUGCUUUAGUAUAGUAGCGGUUUUAGUACAACGCUUAACUACUAGGACAAGUAUAAAAAUCUAAGGACAGUUAUAGUUGUCUCGUCUCAUAGGAUCACUGCUAAAUGUUUAAAAUUGUAUAGUUGUUACAUGAUUGGGUGAAAUUUGUAAAUUCCUAAAUUGUGAAUUCGGAAAAUUUAGCAGCCAGGGUGUGACCAUAAUUGAUUUGAGAAUAUAUAUAUAAUUUUUUGUAAAUCACCUAUUUUCUGUUUAAUUCUUGCAAUUUGUUCCCUUUUUUACAUUAUUAAAUGGAUAACACCUCUGGGCAUUUUAAAGAUACUAAGCUCAUGAAACUAAAGUACAAUGAAGCAUUUCAAAUGCGAUUUAGUAAUAUAACUAAAUUUAUUAAAGAUUCACUAAUCAAUUUUAAAAUAAAAUGUUAUAACCUUUCCUUAUAAUUACCAUAUAAGAUUGAUGAAGCAGUGGAAUAAAUAGAAUUUGGUAUUAAAUUUAGUGAAAUGUGUGCCUAAGUGACUGAGGAUGAUUAUUUAAAAUCUGUGUCUAUUAAAAUGCUAAAUUGCACAGGGUAGUUUAAAUGAAAUGCCAUUAAUGUUAAAAAAAAAAAAAUAGGGUAUAAUUCAAUUGAAACACAAAAACAAUAGCAUUAUGUUUAUUUAAAACCUAGUUUCCAUAGUGGGAACAGGAACUUAGGGUAAAAGAGGAAUUUUGUUUAUAGAUGGCUAUCAAAGGAUGCAUAAGUAAUAAAAGUAUAAUGUACGUUGAUUUUUUUUUUUUUUUUGUAUUUCAUCUUUUACAUAAAUAUUCGGUGGCUAUAUGUUCAUAGAUAUAACAGCAAAAUAUAAAAAUAAUGUCUGUAUAUAGGUAUAAUUUCAAGGCAAAGCAGGUACCGCAGUACCAAUAGUAAUUAUGUGUGGUAAGUAGGGUUUUGCAAAUGUCUCACAUUAUUCCUCUUUUUACUUUGUCCCUGAUUUUUAAAAUUAAUUUUGAAAAGUUCAAAUUGAAACUCUCUUAUUGCGUUGGAGGAUGGAAGAGGAUGCUACAGUUUUAAGUCUCCUUGCAGAGGUAUUAACGUACAAAAUGUACAAAAUGAGUAUCCACUCGAGUAUCCUAUCUCUUUAACCCCUUAAGGACACAGCUUCAGAAGCUGGACAUACUCUUAAAGACACAAGCAAUAUUUGCAUUUUUUGCUGUUUGUGUUCAACUGUAAUUUGCAUCUCUCAUUUAUUGUACCAACAGAUAUUAUAUACAGUUUUUUUAGACAACAAAAAGGACUCUAAUUUGAUGUGACAUAUACAUAUAUAAAUUUUCAUUUAUUACAAAAAAAUGCUAAAUAAUGUGGAAAAAAGUUUUGGCAAUAAUAAUGUGUGCAUAAUAUGUCCAGCUUAGGAAAAGUAAUUCAAAAUCAAUUCAUUUAUGUGUCUUGAUUUACAAAGUACAUAAUAUGUGCAGGAUUUCAGUUUAUUUUGAAAGUUACAGGUCACAAACUACAAGUUCUAAAAUAAAAUUUCAAUGUGAAACAAUUUUAGUAGUUGGUAUGUUUGUCUUGGAAGUUUAAUACCCAUUCCAGGAAACAAAAUUGCCACACACAAUUAUAUAUUUAUAUAAAGUAGACAUCACAGGCUAUUUACUUAAGGUUAGUCUGACACUCUUUGCGUAGCCAUUUCACCGCCAAUCUCUGCUAAAUAUUGGAGUAAAAUUGUGUUUUUUCUCUAUUUUGGCAAAUACACAUAUAACAAGGUUUUUGUAAUGUGUAUUUCGUAAACCUAGUGUGUGCUAUCCCAUAUUAUGUUCAGCUACAUCUGCAGAGUACAUCGAUGCCCCCAUUGUAUACCUUUGCCUCUAUUCUGUGAAACUACAAUGCCAUAUAGGAGACCAUGCUAUUUCAGUUUCUAUAGUUGGAAUUUUCAUAGAUGGUCAUAUGUCUGAUUUUGUGGCAUUAUAGCCAUUUGACUGUUCAGAUAACCCCACAAAGGCCUUCCAUUUGAGAGAGCAGACACUCCAGGGUAUAUUAGGCAUAUAUUAUACCUUAACCUGCCACCAUUUUUUCACCAAUUUAUUUCAAAUUUUGUGGUUUUUUACAUACAUGUUGCAUUUUCGCUGGGUAUUUCUUGCAUUUGAUAAGUGCCACUGUCAUAAAUUCCCCCUAAGUAUGCUCAGUUACAUCUUCUGAGUAAAACAAUAAGCCCAAUGUAUGACCUAGACACUAUUUUGUGAAGUUACAGUGCUGUGAAAGAGACGUGACACGUUCAGGUUUUUAAGUGUGAAUUUACAUGGAGAGUUUUAAUGGGUCCGUAUUCUAUUUUUAAAUAUGUUAGCAGGCUGCUUUAAUUUUUCUGUUAGCUUGUAUCAAAUGUAGUGUUAAUAAGCAUUUUUUUUUCUGCCUUUUUGACACACAGUGAGUUUGUACUGUAUAUUUUGCAAACCUUAUGUGUGCUACGGCUUUAUAAUACUUUAUAUGUUGCUCAGCUAUGUUGUCUGAGUACAGAAAUUCCCCCGUAUAUACCUUUGCCAGGUAUAUGUGGACAUUGAAGGGGCACAUUUCAGACACAGCCAUUGCAGGUUUUUUCAAACUUUGAAUUUUUACGCUGUGUUGCUACCCCACUUUGGAGUUUAGCAGACUAUAUGUUCCAACUAUCCCAUAAAAGCAUACUAUUUCUUAAAGAAGACAUCCCAGGGUAUUUCAAAAGGCAUAUUUUGAACCUUAGCGUGGGAUCAUUUUUCCGCUAGCUUGUACCAAGUGUAGUGGAAAUAAGCGUUUUUUCUGCUUUUUUGACACACACAGUGAGUUUGUACUGUGUAUCUUGCAAACCUUAUGUGUGCUACGGCUAAAUAAUACUUCCUAUCUUGCUCCGCUAUGUCGUCUGAGCACAGCAAUACCCCCAUAUAUACCUUUGCCCGGUAUAUGCGGUUAUUGAAGGAGCAUAUUUGAGACACAGCCAUUUAAGUUCUUUCAAACUUUACAUUUUUACGCUGUGUCCAUACCUCAUUUUGGAGGUUUAUUUUGUAGGUUAAUUAUUCCAGCUACCCCAUAAAGGCAUACCAUUUCUUAAAGAAGACACGCUAGGGUAUUUCAAAAGAUGUAUUUUGAACCUUAGUGUGAAAUAAUGUUUCCGCUAGCUUGUACUAAGUGUAGUUGUAAAAAGCAUUUUUUUCUGCUUUUUUGACACACAUAGUGAGUUUGUACUGAAUAUUUUGCAAACUUUAUGUGAGCUAUGGCUAUAUAAUACUUCCUAACUUGCUCAGCUAUGUUGUCUGAGCACAGCAAUACCCCCAUAUGUACCUUUGCCAGGUAUAUGCGGAUAUUGAAGGGGCACAUUUGAGACACAGCCAUUUAAGUUUUUUCAAACUUUACAUUUUUACGCUGUGUCCAUACCCCAAUUUGGAGGUUUAAUUGUAUGUUAAUUAUUCCAGCUACCCCAUAAGGGCAUACCAUUUCUUAAAGAUGACACCCUUGGGUAUUUCAAAAGACGUGUUUUGAACCUUAGAUUGAAAUAAUGUUUCCGCUAGCUUAUACCAAGCCUAGUGGUAAUGAGCAUUUUUUAUGCCUUUUUGACAUACUUAAUGAGUUUGUAAUAUAUAUUUUGCAAACCUUAUAUGUGCUACAGCAGUAUAAUACAUCAUAUGUUGCUCCGCUAUGUUAUCUGAGUAAAGCAAUAACCCCAUAUGUACCUUUACCAGGUAUAUGACAACGUUGAAAGGGCACAUUUGAGACACAGCCAUUUAAGUUAGAAUUUUUAUGCUGUGUCCAUGCCCCACUUUGGAAUUUUUUUUAAUAGGUUGUGUUUUCCAAUUACUUCACAAAGGCAUACCAUUUCCAAAAGAAGACACCCCAGGGUGUUUCAAAAGGCAUAUUUGAAACCUUAGCGUGGUAUCAUUUUUUCGCUAGCCUGUACCAAGUGUAGAGGUAAUAUGCAUUUUCCCCCUUUUUAAAACAUUUUUUUUUUUAACUUUUUAAAAGUUUAUUUUAGCUUUUAUACAAAAAAUAUUUUUAUGUACAAGCACUCUGUUAUCCCUGUUGGUGCAAAGUAUCGAGGUGGCCAGAAUACCUCAAAAUAUACAAAAUACAAGAAAAUGAUACUGCACUCACAAGUUCAAUAUAGAUUUCAUUGCUAAAUUUAAUGAAUCAUUAGUGAAUUCAUUAUCUUACGUAGAUAUAAUUCAUUAAUCAAGUAUGUUUUAAAGUCUGAAAAAUUGAUAAUAUAUACACGCUUAAAUUAGAAAUAUGUACAAGUGAGUAAAUUUAGUAGAAACAAAGCAUUAUGAGUCUACUGCUGUGACUUCAUGUUAACUAUAAGAGUCCCUGACCAUGAUAUUAAAUAGCUGUAUCAGAUAUUCCAAAAAGUCAUAUCAUCCAGAGAAAAACCGGAUAAGUGGGAAAAAGGGGGAAAAAACAAAAAAUAUCAAAAAAGUUCCUUUCAAAAAAUCAGAAAAAAAGAAAAAAGGAAAAAAAGUAAGUAUAUACAGUCCCAGUGUGUACACACUAUAAAGUAUGGGUGGAUCUCACCAGUGGAGGUAUAAAUUCUGUUGUCCAGUAUCUUUUAGUGUAAAGGUGAAUCCCUGUAGUUGUAGUUCCUCUUUUCUUCUUCUUUUGCAGGUAGUGUAUAUAGAACAGUUCCUCACUUAUUCCUCAUUGAUCCCUGAGGUGCCAAUAUGUAUGCUUUGUUAGCUGGUGCAGGGUCUCCUGUGCGGGCUGCGCGCUCGGGAUGUAGAUAAAUCCCUUCAAUGGCCCUGUCAGAAAAAAGCAGUAUGAGUCCCAUACUUAUAUGUAGUAUGGCGCGCCCGCCUGGUGUAAAUUUUUAAAGAACAGUGAUGUACAUUUAAAAAAAGGGAAUCAUUUUAACAUGAAGUAUUAGCUGUAAUGAAAUUUUUAUCCAAUAAAGGGAUAUUGAUCAUAUUUGUAUAUAUAUAUAUAUAUAUAUAUAUAUAUAUAUAUAUACUUAGGGGUUAUUUAUACCUAAGGGGGCUAGAGAAGAUCAUCAUUUUCAUACAAGAAAGGAGGAGUUAGGGUCAAUAGUAUACUGUGGCUCAUAGAGAGUCUAACGUUAAUUGGAAUAGCUAUGCUUCUAAUAAUUAGAACCCCAAUUUCAUAUUCAUGAUUUAAUUGUAAUGUGUAUAGAAUUUUACUUCAGAAAUAUAGUCACUAAUGUAAGAACCAUCCCUUCAAAAAAUGCCAAUACCUAAUCCAAUGAAUGUGAAGUAAUUAAAAGCUCAAGAUAUAGUAUGAUUACAACAGUUAAUCAGCGGUGACCAUUCACCCGUUUAGAUACAGGGCGGACUGGCCCACCGGGAUACCGGGAAAUUUCCGGCACCUGGGGGCCGGCCGUGUUCCUGGCUGGAGCCGCCGGGCCGGGUGGCAGCUUCCCCGGUCCCGCGGCCCUGCUCCUCUAACUGCUGUGGCUGAUGGAGGAGGAGCAUGUCUCUGUACCAUGCUCCCUCGCGGUCCCGGCACAGAGACAUGCUCCUCCUCCAUCAGCCACAGCAGUGACAGGACAGAGGAAGCUGCCACCCGGCCCGGCGGCUCCAGCCAGGAACGCGGCCGGCCCCCUGACUUGUCCAGGUAAAGGGGGGGUGGAGAGGGGAAUAGAGGGAGGAGGGAGAGACACAGGGAAAGGGAGAGAGAUGGGGAGGGACACAGGGAAAGGGGGCAGGGAGGGAGGAGGGGAAAGACACAGGGAAAUGGGGAAGGAGAGAGAUAGGGAGAGACACAGGGGAGAGGGAGAGAGAUGGGGAGGAGGGGAGAGACACAGGGAAAGGGGGGAGGGAGAGAGAUGGGGAGGAUGGGAGAGACACAGGGAAAGGGGGGAGGAAGAGACACGGAAAGGGGGUGAAAGAGGCAGAGGGGGAAGAGAGAGACAAAGAGGGAGAAAUGAGAGAGAGACACACAAGGGGAGGGGAAGAAAGAGGCAGAGGGGGAAGAGAGAGACUUGGAAGGAAAGGGGAGACAUUGACACAGAGGAGCAGUGAGGGGGAGAAAGAAACAUACAGAGUGACUGGGGGAGACAAAAAGGCACGGCCGAUCUCCCUUCCCGUUCCACAGGCACCGUGCAGCCAGUCGGCAGGGGAGGGCAAUGCUCCAGCUCUCACAAGGGUGAACUCUAGCCCUGGAGCUAUGGGCUAGAGUUCACUCUCACCACUUCCUGGUGGUCCCAGUAGUAGAAGUGAACUCUAGCCUCAUACACACAUUGCCCCACACACACACCAUACACAUUCACACACUGCCCCCACACACACACACCAUACACAUUUACACACUGCCCACCCACACACUGAACCUUUCACACACAUUGCACCACUGCUCCUAUACCCUACUACAGCCCCAUAUCCCAGCAGACUCCAGGUAAGUUGUCAAAAUGUUGUUAAACGGUUUGACGACUUACUCUGGGAGGGGGUGCCGACGCUCCUGGCACCAUAACCACUACACAGAGGAGUAGUGGUUAUUGUGCAUGGAAUAUUUCUUUAAAUAAUCUACAAGUGCCCCUCUCAGGCUCAGGCUCUGGAUCCGCCACUAGUAUAUGACAUGUAUAUUAAUGUGUGUAUUAGUUUUAUAUAUAUAUAUAUAUAUAUAUAUAUAUACCUAUUAUAUUUACACAUAUUAAUGUACAUUUAUAAAUGCAUAAUACACAGAGAAAUUUCAUUAAUAUGUACCAUAUGUAAUGAGCAGAUAUUGGCCCAGUCUUGUUGCUAGGUGCAUACUCCAGCACAAUAACAUAUUUAAAGUGAAGAGCACACCCACAGGACUUCAAAAUAAACAUUUUUUACAGUUGUGCCCUACAUACAUUCACCAUUUCAGUCCCAUUAACAAGCUUUCCUUAAUAUGUCAAGGUAGUUGGACUGAAACAUUGAUUACAUGCAAAGGCACGUCUGCUUAAAAUAAAUCUGCACUUUUGUUUAUUUUGAAGCCUAUGGGUGCGCUUUUUACGUUGAAGUACUUUUUAAUUUUAAGUUAUCUGUUCUAACUCUGUAUCUGCACACUAUGCUGGCGCGACGCAUUAUGGGGAUGGUAAAUAUUUUUUUUCCAGGGCUGCUUUUAAUUCCCAGUCCGGCCCUGUUUAGAUAUCAUAUUUUUAUUAAUGUUUGUGAAUUUAUUGUUGCAUACUCACCAGCAGUGUAGUGUGUGAAAAAUGCAUGUGGUUUCUCGCACGUUGGACCCCAUGAUUUCCCGGGUAACGGACCACAAGAUGGUCAAACUCUUUAAUAGCUCUUAAGUAGUAAAAGUGACAGGCAUGCCAUAUAGGGUCCCAAUGUCUAGCUGUGGAUAUAAAAUAAUACAUUAGCCCAAGUUAAUGGACCAAAGGUAGAAAGGUUGAACAGUAUCCUAAGUCGUCCUUCAAAAAAUGUUUGAGGUCAUAGUCCUCAUUCAAGCCAUUCGGGUGGAGUGUUUCCAGAAUACUAAUCCACUUUGUCUCUUUGCAUAAAAGUGCUUUUUGUCUGUCUCCACCUCUACGCAACGGUUUAACACCAUCAAUUACCUGAAAUCGUAAUUGAUUGACAUUAUGACCAUGCUGUAGGAAAUGCCUUGGUACUGGUUUGUCACACGUCCCUUUCUGUAUGGCAGCUCUUAUGUCCCUCUUAUGUUCUCCUAUGCGUAUUUUCACUGGCCUAAUAGUUUCCCCAACAUAGAGAAACCCACAUGGGCAUUUCAGAAUGUAAACCACAUAUUCUGAGUUGCAAGUGUAAUAUUCAAGUAUUUUAAAGGGUUUGCCUGAUCUCGGAUGUACAAAAUGAUCACCCCUGAUUACAAUGUAUACAGUUUAGGCACGGGAAUGUGCCUUUCUUCAGAGGUUCAGAGAAAAAUCUUCUCUGUUUUUUGUUGCUGCCUAUGUCUGAGUGCACUAAUUUAUCCCUAAGAUUCUGUGCCCGUUUAUACGAGAACAGUGGAGGAUUCCUAAAUUCAACUGGUAAAUUAAGAUCGCCCUCAAAGAUGUUCCAAUGCUAUAAUAUGAUCUUUUUAACAGCAUUACUAUAAGGCGUGUAUGGGGAUAUAAACGGAAUUCUUUGUAUAGUGUCCUUAUUUCUGCCCAUAGGGUUAAGUACUUCUCCCCUGUUCAUAUCUGUUAUCCUGGCUCUGUGUCGUGUCACUAGUUCUAAUGGCUAACCCCUAUCAAUGAAUUUAUUGCACAUGUACUCCAUCCCUGGUUCUACACGAUCUUCCUGUGAGAUUAUUCUUUUCACUCUCAGCAUUUGGCUGUAUGGUAAGCCAUCCCUAAGAUGUUGGGGAUGGAAGCUGGUGUAUUCCAAAAGAUUAUUUCUAUCAGUAGGUUUUGUGUAAAUGUCUGUGUACAGUUUAUUGUCAAUCAGGUGUACCUGGGUAUCCAGGAAUGGAACCAUGUGUCUAUCACAGGCCAUGGUGAAUUUGAUGUUAGGGUCCAGGGAGUUCAAUUGGUCAAACAAAUUGUCCAACUGGACCCUCGUCCCCCCCCAACAUACAAACACAUCGUCAAUGAACCUCUUCCACGUGAGGCAUUUCUCAAAAAGUGGAGUGGUGUAUAUGUAUAGUUCCUCCAACUUAUUCAUAUAUAUUUUCGCAUAAGUGGGGGCUACAUUCGAGCCCAUUGCUGUCCCUUUGAUUUGCCUAUAAAAAUUAUCUUCAAAAAGAAAAUAAUUCUCAGUCAGGACAAACCGUAGUAGUUCCAAUAUGUAUAUCUUGGUAUCCAAAGAUUGGGUUAAUAUUGGGUCCUGAUCUAAUGUCCACUCGACUGCUCGUAGUCCCCCUAUAUGAUCAAUAGCUGUAUAUAAUGAUUGUACAUCUAGCGUGACCAGCCAAACCUCUGUGGAAUGUUCAAUAUUGAGGUUGUCAAUUAAUUUAAAAAAAUCAUUUGUGUCCUUAAUAUAUGAUUUUUGUUUUGAAAUGUACUUGAUCAAGAAUUUAUCUAACAUUACUGCUGGUGGUUGUAAGAUGGAGUCCAUACCACUGACUAUGGGCCUUCCUGGUGGGGUCUGUAAAUUUUUGUGUAUCUUUGGGAGAGUAUAGAAGACAGGUGUUGUUGGAUAUUUUUUGGACAUGUAUUUAUAUUCUCCCUCAGUGAUAAUGCCUUUGUCCAUGGCUACCCUAUUUAGUGUCUGUAAUUCUCUCUGUAACCGCUGGAUGGGAUUCCCAUCCACUGGUUGAUAACUGAAUAUGUCAUUCAAUUGUGAUCUAAUCUCCUUGACAUAGUAAUCCCGAUCCAUGAUGACAAGUGCCCUACCCUUAUCUGCUGGUUUGAUGAUAAUCGAAUUGUCCUCUCUGAGUGUAUUGAGUACCUGCCAAUCUUUCUUAAUGAAGUUGGGUUUAUGCUGAAAAUUUCUACUCUUCCCCUGUUGUUUUCAUCUCAGUUUCUUAAUAUCUUUUUUGAUUAAAUUAGAAAAUAUAUCUAUAGACUGAUUGAAUAUGUAGGGUGUGAAUGUGCUGUUUGGUUUCAAACCAAAGUGGUAAUGAUAAAGCAGGCGUUGAUGGUGUCGGUUGGUGUGUCUCUAUAUUCUCUUGUCCGUAGAUAUUGGUCUGGGCUAAAGUAGUUCUGUGGAAAUUCUCCAUAGUCGUCAUUGACGUGGAGCUGAUAGGACCACCUUCCAUGUCUGUAUUAAAAAAAUAUGCUUUUAGUUUUAAUUGUCUCAAAAAUUUGUAUAUAGACACAUCAUAUUCAUGCCAUUGUGGUAUGGGGGUGGGAACAAAUGAUAGACCCUUAUUCAGUACUAAUUCUUCCUGUGUGCUUAAUGGCCUACCUGAUAAGUUGUAUAUUAAUUUUCCGCCUGCUGGUUGGUAACUUCGCUCUCCUUCUGUCCUGUGUGCUUCUUGUGGUAACCCCCCCUCCCGACUGGUCUCUAAUCCUGGGUGUCCCCUAAAAAAGUGGUUCCAAAAGAGGAGGAGGCAGAGGAGGAUGUAGAUGGUGCAUCCGAGUCCUGUUGCCAUUUCGUGUUGGAACUUCCUUUAUUCACCCUGUAUUGUCUAAAUUUUUUUGACCAAUUGAACUCCCUGGACCCUAACAUCAAAUUCACCAUGGCCUGUGAUAGACACAUGGUUCCAUUCCUGGAUACCCAGGUACAUCUGAUUGACAAUAAACUGUACACAGACAUUUUUCACAAAACCUACUGACAGAAAUAAUCUUUUGGAAUACACCAGCUUCCAUCUCCAACAUCUUAGGUAUGGCUUACCAUAUAGCCAAAUGCUGAGAGUGAAAAGAAUAAUCUCACAGGAAGAUCGUGUAGAACCAGGGAUGGAGUACAUGUGCAAUAAAUUCAUUGAUGGGGUUACCCAUUAGAACUAGUGACACGACACAGAGCCAGGAUAACAGAUAUGAACAGGGGUGAAGUACUUAACCCUAUGGGCAGAAAUAAGGACACUAUACAAAGAAUUCCGUUUAUAUCCCCAUACACGCCUUAUAGUAAUGCUGUUAAAAAGAUCAUAUUAUAGCAUUGGAACAUCUUUGAGGGCGAUCUUAAUUUACCAAUUGAAUUUAGGAAUCCUCCACUGUUCUCGUAUAAACGGGCACAGAAUCUUAGGGAUAAAUUAGUGCACUCAGACAUAGGCAGCAACAAAAAACAGAGAAGAUUUUUCUCUGAACCUAAGAAAGGCACAUUCCCGUGCCUAAACUGUAUACAUUGUAACAGUAUAAUCAGGGGUGAUCGUUUUGUACAUCCGAGAUCAGGCAAACCCUUUAAAAUACUUGAAUAUUACACUUGCAACUCAGAAUAUGUGGUUUACAUUCUAAAAUGCCCAUGUGGGUUUCUCUAUGUUGGGGAAACUAUUAGGCCAGUGAAAAUACGCAUAGGAGAACAUAAGAGGGACAUAAGAGCUGCCAUACAGAAAGGGACGUGUGACAAACCAGUACCAAGGCAUUUCCUACAGCAUGGUCAUAAUGUCAAUCAAUUACGAUUUCAGGUAAUUGAUGGUGUUAAACCAUUGCGUAGAGGUGGAGACAGACAAAAAGCACUUUUAUGCAAAGAGACAAAGUGGAUUAGUAUUCUGGAAACACUCCACCGGAUGGCUUGAAUGAGGACUAUGACCUCAAACAUUUUUUGUAGGACGACUUAGGAUACGACAGCACUGUUCAACCUUUCUACCUUUGGUCCAUUAACUUGUGCUAAUGUAUUAUUUUAUAUCCACAGCUAGUCAUUGGGACCCCAUAUGGCAUGCCUGUCACUUUUAUUACUUAAGAGCUAUUAAAGAGUUUGACCAUCUUGUGGUCCGUUACCCGGGAAAUCACGAGGUCCAACGUGCGAGAAACCACAUGCAUUUUUCACACACUACACUGCUGGUGAGUAACAUGCAACAAUAAAUUUACAAACGUUAAUAAAAAUAUGAUAUCUAAACGGGUGAACGGUCACCGCUGAUUAACUGUUGUAAUCAUACUAUAUCUUGAGCUUUUAAUUACUUCACAUUCAUUGGAUUAGGUAUUGGCAUUUUUUGAAGGGAUGGUUCUUACAUUGGUGACUAUAUUUUUGAAGUAAAAUUCUAUACACAUUACAAUUAAAUCAUGAAUAUGAAAUUGGGGUUCUAAUUAUUAGAAGCAUAGCUAUUCCAAUUAACCUUAGACUCUCUAUGAGCCACAGUAUACUAAUGACCCUAACUCCUCCUUUCUUGUAUGAAAAUUAUGAUCUUCUCUAGCCCCCUUAGGUAUAAAUAACCCCUAAGUAUAUAUAUAUAUACAAAUAUGAUCAAUAUCCCUUUAUUGGAUAAAAAUUUCAUUACAGCUAAUACUUCAUGUUAAAAUGAUUCCCUUUUUUCAAAUGUACAUCACUGUUCUUUAAAAAUUUACACCAGGGAAUCUUGACAGGUGUAUAGUCGCCAUUUUGGGCAGUCGGAAUCCAGGACAAUUACCCCAUAACCUAACCCAAUAACACACGGACACUAAGGGAUAUGGGGAAAUUUGUCCACAGCUUUAUUAAGCAAACAAUAAUAAUAACAACAAUAAUAAUAAUAAUAACUUAACAAGUAAAACAUGGGUCAUUGCCCCCCAUACUCCGCCCUCGCAUCCUAUUCCUUCCAUUAACAUAUAAAGGGCAAUGACCCCCAUGUAAAUAAACAUAUAUAUAUAUAACAUACAUCAACAUUAUUCCAAUCGAUGUAAAGUGCCAACCAUCCAUUAGCCACGGCAGGGGUAUACCCGGAUACCCCUACCCCACCAGGUUCUGAGCCACCGACAGGACUCGAAACCUAUCAACCACCGAUGACCACCACUUGUUUAUUUUCCAUUACGUUCAUCCUGGGGAGCCUAUUUCCUUUCCUUCAGCUCCCCAUCCCGCCAUAAGCUCAGACCUUGACCCCUUAAGCCGUCUGAGCUCCGCCACCCCGAAGAAAUAGCGCCCGCUGCAUACCAACCUGCCAACCCAAGUUUAGCAGAUCCCAACCCACCUCAGAAAGAUGAACCCCGUCCGAGCGGUAGUACCCCGGCAACCCCUCUUCCAACUCGCCGUGCCGUACCACCACGCCCCCCACCUUCCUAACAAAGCUUGCCAUCAGGCUGUUCACUUUUUUCCUGCACUGAUUGAUAGCCACCGGAUCCCGGGCGUGCCGCCACCGACACCUAGGGACAAUCUCUGACCACACUAACAUAACCCCCGGAAGCAGGUCCCUCAGUUUGUUGAUGUCCUGCUUCAUCCAUUUUACCAACCGGCGUGAGGCCCAAGUCAUUACCCCCGGCAUGAAGGACCACCAUGUCCGGCGCUUUUCCGUCCGUAACCAUCCUAAACAUUGCCCCACAAACCUCCCCCCAGCAAAAUCCCCGGUACCCGAACCACCGGACUGCCAACUGGUCCUUCAGAAAGCCCAGCUGCUGGCCUUGCGUUCGAGCUGCGGCCCUCCUCUCGGCCCAGAAGACAAAAGAAUGUCCCACAAUCCAAGCAACCCUUCUUGGGGAGAAGAAGAAAACAAGCGUGAGGGAAAGGCAAAGGGAAACUCCUCCGUUCAUGCCCGCCCCCGUACCUUAUAUAUACAUAUACAUAUACAUACAUGUACACACACUUUUUUUUUUUUUUUUUAAUAUUAUUAUUAUUCCAAUAAGCCCAACCGUACAUAUGAACGGAACCGCACCGACGCCCAUCUCCCUAUGCGCUUCACGACCUCAUCUCCUAGUCCCAACCGUGCGGCCUCCGUGGCUGCCCCUAUGCGAAAGGAGUGAGUACCGAAACGUCCGGCCGGAAGCCCCAACUUACCUAGCCCAGACCGAAAAACCUUCGUAAACUGAAAUCGGGACAGGGAAGAACCAUCCGUAUGCACCAAGAAGGAACCCCCUACCGCCGGCCUCCGGGCCAUGUACUCCGCCACUGCAGCCACCGGGCACAAUACUGCGCCCGGCAGUGCCCAUAGUGUCAUGUCCCGACCCACGCCGCGGACGUCUGUUUUUGACUUACCCAGAUGCACAACCACCUUACCCUCCAAAACACGAACCCCCGAGGCCUGCAAACCCCCGGGCAUGACCCUACUGGCACUCACUAGCUCCCCCACGCGGAACGCCCCGAAGAAUGCCAAGAGAAAGGCCGCUCUGAACAAAGAGACCUCGAACCCGUUGAAACAAAUUUCCGGCAACAGACCCACCAGAUCCCCCAACACCCGUACAGACACCGGGCGCCUAGAGUCACAUGACCUGCGGCGCUUUCGAUAACCCUUUAACGCCUGUCGAACUAAGAAGGUCUUGGUCAGAUCCUCCUUCCCGCGCCACCGGAACCAGAAUGCCAUUGCCGCCAUGGACCUGUCGACCACUGCCGGGGACGCCCCCUUUGCCAGCAAUUGACAGGUGUACCACAGAAAAGCGUCCCGCAGCGCAUCCCCUUGUAAGACAUGAUCCAACCCGUCUAAUGACCGUUCCCAAGAGUCCCAGACCUUACUGUAGGAGGCCCAUGUGGCCGGUGCCAGUGAAGCCUUCACAAGUCCCCCAAGCAGGAUGCUCCCAGCUGCCAUAUCUCGUCCGGGCACGCCUGCCCCUCCUUCAAUGCCCCUGGCGCCAUCGUCCAAAAUCGGGACCACUGAAAACGAGACAGAGCGUCAGCCACUUCGUUCAGGUACCCAGGGACAUGACACGCGCGAAAAACAACAUUCCGUGACAUACACAUUAACACAAAGCGCCGCAGCAACCUAACCACUGGCUUAGAGGCAGCCGAUUGAUUAUUCACUGCGUGCACCACCGCCAUGUUAUCCGAGAAAAAGACCACUUUCUGGUCCCGGAGCCCCUCGCCCCACAGUGCCAUUGCAACGACCAACGGGAAUAAUUCCAUAAAAGCCAGGUUGCGCAUGACCGGGCUGGACCCCCAUGUCUCCGGCCACCGCUCCGCGCACCAUCUCCCGCCAAAGUAGGCUCCGAAGCCCACACUACCCGACGCAUCCGUGAAGAGCUCCAGCUCCGACGCCGACUUACCUGCCUGCCGGAAAAACACCGUCCCGUUGAAGUCCUGCAGGAAGGCAUCCCAAAUGCCCAAAUCAGCCCUCAUGGCUGCCGACACCCGUAUGAAGUGGUGUGGGGAUCGAACCCCUGCCGUAGCAGCCGCCAGGCUGCGGCUGAAAACCCUCCCCAUAGGAAUUACACGGCAUGCAAAGUUCAGCAUCCCGAUCAAUGACUGCAGUUGCCGCAGCGUAACCUUGCGCGCAACGGUCACCGCAGCCACUGCAUCCCUGAGCCCCUCCAGCUUGUCCCGAGGCAGCCGGCAUUCACCCAAGACCGAAUCUAUUUCCAACCCCAGGAAACUAAGGCACGUCGCCGGGCCCUCCGUCUUAUCCGCUGCCAGCGGCACCCCGAAGUGUCCCGCCACCCAUUCCAUGGUCCUAAGCAGUUGCUGGCAUGCCGAGGAGGCAGCCGGCCCCACGCAAAGGAAAUCGUCCAAGUAGUGCACUACUGAACGGCUCCCCGCCUCCACCCGCACCACCCAUUCGAGAAAAGUACUAAAUUUCUCGAAAUAGGAGCAUGAAAUGGAACAGCCCAUAGGGAGGCACAAGUCCACGAAAUAUUUCCCCUCGAAAAAACAUCCCAGCAGGUGGUGACAGUCCGGGUGGACCGGCAGCAGCCGAAACGCUGCCUCAACAUCCACUUAGCCAUAAGCGCCCCAUGCCCGGCCCGUUUAACCAGCUCGACCGCCCGGUCGAAUGAUGCAUACGAGACCGAGCACAAGUCCUUAUCAAUACCGUCAUUCACCGACUCCCCUUUCGGGUAGGAGAGGUGGUGAAUGAGCCGGAACUUCCCCGGCUCCUUCUUUGGCACCACCCCGAGAGGGGAAACCCGGAGGCCCUCCAAUGGGGGUACCGUGAACGGGCCCGCCAUCCGCCCUAGCUUAACCUCCUUGUCUAGUUUUUCCCGUACCACCCCCGGGAAAUCCGCCACCGACUUCAGGUUGCGCAACCCCCCCGAUCCCCCCCGCUCCCGGAAGGGGAUAAAGAAACCGCGCCCGAAGCCCUCCCGAAGUACCGAGGCAUCAGCCCUGUUACCGUAGCGGCUUAGCCACGGCUCCAUCGCGUCUAGCCUCACCGGUGUGAAGCCCCGGGGCAGGGGAAGCACUCCCUCCGGCCCCGGCGGCCGCUCCGGUGGUUCCCGCCUUCCCUUUUUUGAAACAGCGAUUGACACGCGUUUCACCAUUUGCACUGGCCCUCGUUGUAGAGCCAGCAGAAGCCCUUUUGUAAAGCGGCCGACGAGGCGGACUGCCCCUUCGCGCCGGCCGAGUUUUGAAAGGGCUGCGCCUUCUGAGCCAUCAUUAGCUUCAUCCAGAGAGGCAGAUCCAUCUGAUCCCACCUCAUACCCGGGUUAGCCGCCAGUCGCUGCCUGAACUGUUCAUCGUACCGCCACCAUGCCAGCCCCCCAUAGGUGUGGUAUGCUUCCCAAAUGCCGUCCAAGUAGCAAAACAGGGACGAGCAUAAUCCCGGCGAUUUUUCACCGAGCACGCUGGCCAGCAUGCAAAACGCCCUCAACCAGUUACCAAAGGAUUUCGGAAUCUUGCGAUACCGCUUCCUUUUCUCCUCCUCCUCCUUCUUCUCAUCCUUCUUAUCCUCCUCUUUGAGGUCAAUAAAGUCCCCCAAGGGGAGCAGGGAGAAGAUCUCGCAAAACUCACCUUUCCAGAGCUUCUCUUUCACGUCCUGUUUCAGAUGAACCCCCAGGGGGCCCGCAAACGAGACAUACGCGUGCUGCCUCGCCGCGUCCGGAAUACCCCCGGCCAGUGCCGCCCUGUCACUCCCGGCCGCCGUCGCCUCGGGCGCCACCCCAGCGUCCCCGCCCGAGCUAAGCCCCGCGGAAACCCCACUAGAACCAGGGACCUCAGUCCCCAGUGCCCAGACCCGACCAACGCCGCCCCCCGUGUCACCCCCCGCCCCCAGUGAGUGGAGCAGUGCUUGAAGUGUGCUAACUAAGGAGCUGGAGUGUAGUGAUCCACAAGACUCACUGGCCAAGCCCCCUGAUACCAGAGCGGCAGGGGCUGCGUCGUCGACUGCCCGAUGUCCAGGGAGAGCGACUCCCGCCGAUACCUCGCCAACCGGGGAGCCAAACCGGUGCCUUGCCCGUGUCGAUAUGGAACGGCUCCGUGACCUGGAAAGAGGAGAAGAGGUCCUGGGUAGGGUGCACUGAGUACCUGCUUCCCCCCGUCCCGACCCUGGGAGCGCCUGCCCAUUGCCAAGGCCUCCCGCUGCGCCCCCCGCGUGCACUGCGCGCGGGAGCCCCUAGGGCUACGACUCCUCCUGUCCCCUCCUGGUAACCGUCCCCGCCGACCACCCCUGGGGACGCUAGCCCUGCCCUCCCCUGAGCUACCUGACGUGGAGCGGUGCUGCCGGGACCUCCCCCUCCUCCCCCUGGGCUCUAAGUCCCGAACUGGAGAGAGACUACCACUACCAGACCCUGAACCAGAACCCCCCUCCUACUACCCUGCACCCCCAAACGCUCACCCUUCCAGCGAGAGCCCGACCCCCCACCCGAAGUGGCUCCCAGACUAAGGGCACCCGGACCCCCCUCAACCAUACUGGCUGAGGAAGCCCCCCCAACCCCUAAACCAGGCCUACCCGACCCUACCUGCCCAGGCCUAGCCCCAGCACCCGUGGAGGCCCCCCUCCCCCCACCAGGUGAGCCCAGCAGCCCCUCACCACCCCCAGCCCCCUCUCCCCUACUACUACUCCCCCCACCUGUGGCCCCUGUGCCCCCCCCAUUCAGCACCAGUGAUCCCAGGGGGGCCUUCCCGCCCCCCACCUGGGCCCUCCGACCCCCACCCCCUGCCAAGACCCCCCCAGCGCUUCUCCCGCCAAGGGGGCCCCGGCCGGAGCCCCCUGCACUUGCCUUUGGGGCCGGGAACCGGCCACGUGUCCUCCCGGUCCCGGCACCGCCGACCUCCGCCUCCGACGGGGUGGGCGACCUCCCGGGCCGCACCUCCAUGCCGCCUGCUCCUCCAGGGGACCGCCCGGCCACGUCCGACCCGGCAGCCGCGACGGCCCCGUCUCGACCGUCCCCCCGGCGCCGGGCACUGGUCCUAGGCCCCGGCCGCUCGCGGGGAGGCGGGGCCUCUACCACGCGGCUGCCGGGCCUGCUGCCGCCCGCACCGGAGCCUCCCGGACCACCAGGGACGUCUUCACCGGGUCCCCCACCCGGGCUUAGUCUCUCCGGAGGCCUCCUGGCCCGAACAGGCCUGCCACCGCCGCCGUCCCGGUUCGCCGCCUCCGCCAGGGCCGGGCCUAGCUGGGCCCUCAGCCAGUCAGCCCCCUGGUGCCUCGCCGCCGACCGGAUCUCCUCCAGCAGUCGCUCCACUUCGUCCAUCGGUCCUGCAGGGAGACAAAAGAAGAAAAAACCCUACCAAGCCAAAUCUGUGCCCACAGGAGCGAACACAAACUUAACCAGGUAGGAAAUUAGAAUGACUUACCUAAAAUGGCUGCCCAUUUAAAUAACCAAACCUACUUACCCAUAACUCCACUCCCUUGCUUACUUCCUCCUAAGCCCGCCUCCUAACCCCUGUCAAGGCCUUUUUUCGCUUAGCUGCGCUUGGCUACAUGGGGCUACAUUCCUUUCCCAUACAUAUGGAUUGAAGAGGAUUGUGUAUAUAUGUUUCUUUUUUUAUAUAUUCAGCUUUUUUAUAUUUGUUCUUUAUGUAAUAGAUUUAGUGAAUGCAUUAUAACUUAUACAUCUGUUUAUUGAAUGAGGACAUUUACAUGGACAUUUACAUAAAGUUAACGGCACGCACGUCGGGCGUAGUAAUCUGACGUGUGCACCAUGACGCUAAACAGACGCGACCCACUGUCGUGAGCGUCAUGACGUCAUUCGGGCGCGACCCGCGCAUACAAGCGGGCGCGCCAUACUACAUAUAAGUAUGGGACUCAUACUGCUUUUUUCUGACAGGGCCAUUGAAGGGAUUUAUCUACAUCCCGAGCGCGCAGCCCGCACAGGAGACCUUGCACCAGCUAACAAGGCAUACAUAUUGGCACCUCAGGGAUCAAUGAGGAAUAAAUGAGGAACUGUUCUAUAUACACUACUUGCAAAAGAAGAAGAAAAGAGGAACUACAACUACAGGGAUUCACCUUUACACUAAAAGAUACUGGACAACAGAAUUUAUACCUCCACUGGUGAGAUCCACCCAUACUUUAUAGUGUGUACACACUGGGACUGUAUAUACUUACUUUUUUUCUUCUUCUUUUUUUUUCCUUUUUUCUUUUUUUCCCCUUUUUUUUCUUUUUUUCUGAUUUUUUGAAAGGAACUUUUUGAUAUUUUUUGUUUUUUCCCCCUUUUUCCCCACUUAUCAGUUUUUUCUCUGGAUGAUACGACUUUUUGGAAUAUCUGAUACAGCUAUUUAAUAUCAUGGUCAGGGAAGGGGUUAAAUUUUAUUUGAAAGAGGUGAGGGUGGGAUUUUUGUAACUAACUUUUUUACACAAAGAGACAGAUCAGCACCAAUCUGUCUCUCUCCACUUCACAGCUCACACUGAGCUGCAGGGAGACAGAUCGGGUCUCACUGCAGCAGUGUGAUCGCUCUGAAUCAGUGAAACUGCCUGCUGUAGUGUGCCUCCGAUAUGGAGACACACUACAGGAACAUUAACCCCACGAUUGCCGCGAUUGUGGCAAUCUGGGGUUAAUUUUAAUUUUGGACGGAAAAUUUCCUUCCAGCAUUCUUAAGGGGAGUACUGCAAUGACGGAAAACUUCCGUCCAUCGUCCUUAAGGGGUUAAGGACCAAACUUCUGGAAUAAAAAGGAAUCCUUAAGGGGUUAAUGCCUGAGAAAAAUUCUGCAGAACAGAGGAAGGUUGGGACAGUAUGGGUUACAUUGUGCACUGUAUUGCUUUGCAGCACAAAACAAAAUUAAAAAAUAUUUAUUGCAAGAUUUUGAUUUUUGUUCGUUGGUAUGGUACAAUAUAGGAAAUUAGGGUAGUGAUCUGGGAAAUUUAUUUACAAAUUAAUCAACUGGGGAAUGAAUUGAAUGGACAAAUAUUGAAUGAAAAGAUAUUUUCUUCUCCUUUGGUACAUAUGAUGAAAAUAUCAUCAUUAUCAGUUUUUUAAGGAAAUAGAAGUUUUUUUAUGUUUAAUAGAAAGGUACAUGUAACAAAUGCUGGUAUUUCAUUACCCGUUCAUUUGGUUCCUCCCGAACUGCUAGGUAUUCAGUGAUUAUAGCGCACAGUUCGGGCACUGAUUCAUAUGUUCCCAAGAAUCAAAGUGCAUCAUAUAAGUAAAUUCAGCGGUUCAGCAAUCCCUUCCCCAAACAUCAGUGUAGACUACAUAAAGGGUACAACUCUGACAGUCCUUUAUUGGUGCACACAGCAUUUAUGCAUUGCCCAAUGCAAGGUGUCUUCAUCCCCAAAAAACAGGGGUCAUAUCCCAGGAUCCUCCACACCCGGGGGCCAAAAGCGGGAAAAGAGGUUGCUGUCCCUUUGUCUCCCAGGUAUGGAAAGCCCUCCCCCCAGACGAGGGGUCUCCCACACAAAACGACAGAGGGAUCUUCAUCCCAGGAGUCUGUUCCUGGGAGCCAAAGCACAGGAAAAGAGGUUGUCCCCUUGUCUCCCAGGCACAGAAAAGCCCACCAAACUAGCUAGUGCCCCAAAAGUAUCCCCACCAAUCUCAGAAGCCCCCACAGUGGCAUUUCCCCCAACCAGUCUCCAUUUGCGAGCACAGGGGAGAACUACUUAAUUACUUCUCUUGCAGCUUCACACUUAUGUUGCAAGUGCAAAUGUUCUGAUUUAUUGCUGGGAACUUUCUAAUGGGGCACCGGGAUGGUCCCCAUUUGGGAGACGAUUGAGUCCCGUUCGUAUGAAUGCUCCCGAACGGGAAACAAGCAUUACAUACGAAAAGCUAGGGGAAACAAGGUAAUUCAAAAGGGAAACACACAAAUGAAUGAGACUCUGCUACAGGCAUCAUGCAGUUUCGUCACAGUACAGAAAAAAGUGAUGAGGAUGGACUCACAGGUCUCCGCCACUCCAACAAAAUGUCAUAGUAAAUAGCAUUCUUGAACAAAUAACUCAAUAAACAUGAGUAGUAGGGUAGCAUGAUGCACAUGCAAAAUGAUACAGUAACAUUGCUCCAUAGCUGUUAGCCAGGUAGUGGGUACAGAGUCAUCUACCUAGGAAUGCAUUCUGCUGACAUUGAAUUGUUCUACCGCCCUCCGAAAAGGAAUCAGGUGAGCAUGCAUGAUAUGGAGGAACCUGGGCAAUAUUUGGAAUACUAACUGAGAGCAGAUGACUAGUCUAUCCAUGUUGUGUAAGGGGGCAGUUGUGGUUUGCUGAGCUCCAACAUAUGGGUACAGAGUCAUUGGGAUGGCCUCUCACCGCUUUACCCAUCCCCCCUCCCAGAGCUAGGAGUAUGGCCAAAGUCGGGGUGGUCUAUGCUAUCCCUUUUGCUACAUCCCCUAUUCCAACGACCCGACCUGCAUUCACAGCUUCCAGAUACAUAAUACGUAAAUGUUUUCGUUGCAGUAACCUCUUGUCCCAUGACUUCUCUCUCUUAGACAGGCCAGCUAUGGUUUGUAUUGCAGAGAGCCGGUAGUUGCAGUAAAGUGGGAUUUGGCAAUGUUCAAAUUAGUCCUAGGAAAGUAGAAAGAAAAAAGGUAUCAAGGAAAGCUCAGCGAAAGGAAGUAUAGAGCAAGUAAAGUAUAAAGGUAUUGGGGCACUCCCCGCUGGGGUCCUUCCCCCCCACCCCCCUACUGCUCAGCAAGUUCUCCAUCCAUCCCGCUCCACCAGGUAUAGUAUCUAUGGCUGCAAUGGCUCAGCAUGUUUAUCACCGGUAUUAGUGAGUGAGGCCUGAAAUGAUUCAGCUGCCUUGAUCUCUCCCACUCUCUCCAUCCAUUGCUCCAUCGUGGGAGACGUGUAUUGUUUCCAAAGCAUUGGUAUGAGGGAUUUUGCAGCAUUAAGGAGGUAUCUAAGUAUCGUUUUACUUUAUUUGCUGACUGUUUUACUGUUUUCAAACGCUAAUGUUUGUGUUCCAUCGUGGCCUCCUGAGUAAAACAGCACCCCCCAUGUAUAGGUUUUAUGGUAUCCUAGAAAGUUACAGGGUUAAAUACAGGGCUUGCGAGACAAAUUCUCUGGACUUUCAGCCUGGGUUGUCGGGCAGGUCCCUCAAAUUGUAAUUAAUAAAAUGACUUGAUUAAUGUAAAAAUAUUAUAUAAAUAUAUUUGUAGAAUUUAAAUAUAUAUAUAUAUAUAUAUAUAUAUAUAUAUAUAUAUAUAUAUAUAUAUAUAUAUAUAUAUAUAUGGCUAAGCCUGUUGGUGAAGCCUGAAAUUGUGGGAGUGGUUAGUUUGCCUAUAAAUAUACAUGCUUCCCCUUCCUCUGUGCUGUUGCUGUCUGGUUCAGAUCUACUUCCAGUUCAAAGGUCAACACAACCUGCCUAAACUCUAAACAAGCUGGUCUUGCCCUAGUGUGGCCCAAGCAAGUAUUAAUUUUACCUCACUAACUACUAACGCAAAUUCAGCUUCAAUCGUACAUAGGCUCACAGAGCUGCCUCAAUUCAUCUCAUGCAUUCUGUUUACUGUAUGUGGCCCUCACUAGGCCAUAUUGACUUUUAUCAUAUGCAUUUCAGUGAGUCACCCUGCUUUUUAAUCUUUUUUUAUUUAUGGCUGCCCUCUUGGUAUGCAGGCAUGCAUCACGGGGCCAGUACAAACCUUUAUCUGGAAAUCUGUUCAUAAACAGGGCUAUACAUAGGACACAAUGUCACACAUUUAGGCUGGAAGAAAGGAGAUUUCAUCUAAGGCAAAGAAAAGGUUUUUGUAGAGUAAGAGCAAUAAGGAUAUGGAAUUCUCUGCCUGAAGAGGUGGUUUUGUCAGAGUCACAACAGAGGUUUAAACUGCAACUGGAUAAAUACUUACAAAAACAUAACAUACAGGGAUAUAAUUUCCAAUUAGUGGGGUAAUAGCUGCUUGAUCCAAGGAGACAUCUGACUGCUAUUUUGGGGUCAAGAAUGAUUUUUUAUCUAGUUUGUGGCAAAAUUGGAAGCGCUUCAGACUAGGUUUUUUGCCUUCUUUUGGAUCAACAGCAACAACAUAUGUGAGGAAGGCUGAACUUGAUGGACACAAGUCUCUUUUCAGCUAUGUAACUAUCUCUGUACACAAUACAACUUAAAAAUUAAUUCUCCUCUCUAAAGGGGAAUAUCUUCUAAAUGUCUAAAAAAAAAUAAAAAAAUUUACGAAACAACCUCAAACUCAUUAACUUAUAAAAUAUAUAUCAUAUACAUUCAUGCAUUUCAGUUAGUCAAUUGACAUUUUAAUAUGUUCUUUAUCUACCCUCUUGGUAUUCCAGCACUCAUUGGGCUUACAUUGUUGAAUUAUGUGGCUAGGUGUUGCAACUGACUGCCUAAAUUUAUGUCAGGCCCAAACUUGGGCCUAUACAUUUGGUUGAGGAAAUAUAAACUUGUAUAUACAUUCUUUGUACACAAUUGUAAAAAAUCCUUAUCCUCUUUAAAGGGGAAUAUCUUAUAAAUAUCUAAAAAUCUUCUUACUAAAACAACCUCAUAAAAUGUUUCUUUAUGAUUGCCCUCUUGGUAUUCCAGCACUUAUUGGGCAUACAUUGUUUAGUAAAUAUGUGGCUAGGUGUUGCUACUGACUGUCUAAAAUUAUGUCAGACCAAAACUUGGGCCUAUACAUCUGGUUAGCAUGCCUGUUAAUAAUCUGUAUUAUUUUACUGUCCGUGACUACUAACGUUCUUCCCAUACAGCCCUCUCUCAGAACACUCCCAAAAACCUGGGCCUCUCACGUAGCAGUUAACAUACCCUGGCCUCUUUGAUAUGUCACUAAUUUAACUGUAUUAGUAUUAUCCUCACCUCCUAUUUCAGGCUUUUACUGAAUUUGCUUCAUGCUAGUAUGAUAGGCAGGUGAUUUAGAUGUGAUUGUUGUUUAAAUUCUCAGGCUGUUCUUUUGCAUACGUAAUUCAGUCAGCUAUUCUAUUCUUGCUAGGCUUCAUGUCACAUUGAGUUACAUGCAUAUCCUUAUGUAAAGUCGCUCCAUAUCUACUCCUUCCCGGUCGUUGCAUAUCUGGGGCCGAUUGUCAGUUAUGGUCAACUGUGUCUUUAUUAUGCUGUUCAAUUUCCAUCAGUUAGGUCGACAACUGUUGUCACUAGAGUAAUUUGGUGUUCUAAGCACAGGAAAAUACUUAUUUUAUCUACUUUUCUGGCACAGACUGUUGAUAAACAAUUGUUCAAUGUUAGUAAUUGUGAACACAAGUUAUCAUGGAUAACUCUCAGGUUAUGGUUAAUUUAAUCACUGUACGAGUAUUUCUUUGCCCUUUAUUAGAUAUUCACGUAUUACAAUUAACUUUCAUUUAUCAUACAGGUAUACAUCUAUUUAAUCAUGUCACUCGUGAAUUAUUUCGUAUUUCACAAUUUCUAUCACCACGCAAGUGAUUUGCUUUUUUUACGAUAAUACCUCCCUACGUACAACAACCACUUACUCUACAAAAUGCUAUAAUUAUCUUGGUCUGGCUGUAAGGGUACCCCAGGUGGCCAUAGGUAGUUUUCGGCCUCUUGUGCCAUUACAUCGCUGUCCUGUGAGGCCAACUCAGCAAACGUAUUUCACCCCUUGUGCCAAAUCAUAGUUACUGCCUCGCUACUCUGCCCUCUUGGCAAAGCAGUUAGGGCCAAUUUAUCAUAUAUCUCUUUAGCUCUCACUGAGCCAACAACCCGCCACAAUGCUCAGUGGCAAACCUACCCCACAGGUCAAAUCAUAGGUAGAGCAUCUCAUCGCCACUUGGCAACUAGUUAGGUUCCCAAAUCACCAAUUUAGCUUAAUCAUUUUGCUACUUGGCUUAAUAAGUGUCAGCCAUUACCUGGGUGUUAUACAGCAUCUCCCAUUAAAAAACUGUUUCUCUUUCAGGUAUGGUUAUAAUGUUGAUAAAUAUUUAAGUAUUGAUUAUGUAAGGUCAACACGUAAUAAGUUGUAAACUAUUAAACUUUUGCCCUCUUUUUACAGGCCUACUCCAACGUCGGCUCCCGCACACCACAACUGACUUAUGCCACUACUACUAUGACUUGGCUUAUUGUCCCCGACCACAAAUAGAAGGCUGAGCCUGUGGGUGAAGCCUGGAAUUGUGCAGGGGUUAGUUUGCCUAUAAAUAUACAGGCUUCCCCUUCCUCUGUCCUGUUGCUGCCUGGUUCAGCCCAGCCACCUCUCCCUUUAUCAAAAAACAUUCAAUUUGGUUGGCCCUCUUUUUACAGGCCUACCCAAACGUCGGUUCCCGCACACCCCAACCGACUUAUGCCACUACUACUAUAACUCGGCUUAUUGUCCCUGACCAUAAGUGUGUGUGUAUAUAUAUAUAUAUAUAUAUAUAUAUAUAUAUAUAUGUUGUGAUCCUUGUCUGCAGUUAGCAUGGUCCUUUUGGGUACAAACAUGCACAGUCUUUAAAAGUAACUUAAUUCCAGGCACUUUAUUGUUAAGCUCCACCACAGAGACAGCAGCAAAUGAAAAAAACAAUGUAACACAAAUCCCUAUAAACAAAAACCUAGCUCGUCUGAGCAUUUACUAACUUCAGACUCCCUAUCUCUCAGGGGUUAAACUAUAACAAAACAAUAUUGGUUUCACCAACCUAGUGUCUUUUUCAGCUCUCAGCACUCCAGUGUUUAGUCAGCCUGCUGCUUCCAGCCCUUCAAGAGAGAAACAAACAUUCCCCCCUACCUGCCUAGCAGGGAGGGUUUUAUUCCCACUGCUGCAGCUGAUUACCUGCAGCUGAGCAGUGGGUUGGAGACAGUCCAAACCCUGGUCUGGACCUAGUCUUCCAAGAAAAAACAAACAGCGGAGUGGAGCACUGGCCCAUCCUUCUCUCCAAAUGCUCCACCCCAGGGGCCCAUAACUAAAUAUGCAUUUACGUUAUAUACAUACACACACUCCCCCUGGGGUUACAGAUCAUAUACCUCUCUGAACAAUGCAGAUGAAAUAUAAACUCCCUCACAGACCACCCCAUUCAUAUAUAUACACUGUUAAAAAAAAUAAAGGGAACACUUAAACAACACAAUGUAACUCCAAGUCAAUCACAUUUCUGUGAAAUCAAACUGUCCACUUAGGAAGCAACACUGAAUGAUAAUCAAUUUCACAUGCUGUUGUGCAAAUGGGAUAGACAACAGGUGGAAAUUACAGGCAAUUAGCAAGACACCCCCAACAAAGGAGUGGUUCUGCAGGUGGUGACCACAGACCACUUCUCAGUUCCUAUGCUUCCUGGCUGAUGUUUUGGUCAGUUUUGAAUGCUGGUGGUGCUUUCACUCUAGUGGUAGCAUGAGGCAGAGUCUACAACCCACACAAGUGGCUCUGGUAGUGCAGCUCAUCCAGGAUGGCACAUCAAUGCGAGCUGUGGCAAGAAGGUUUGCUGUGUCUGUCAACGUAAUGUCCAGAGCAUGGAGGUGCUACUAGGAGACAGGUCAGUACAUCAGGAGACGUGGAGGAGGCCGUAGGAGGACAACAACUCAGCAGCAGGACCGCUACCUCCGCCUUUGUGCAAGGAGUAACAGGAGGAGAACUGCCAGAGCCCUGCAAAAUAACCUCCAGCAGGCCACAAAUGUACAUGUGUUUGCUCAAACGGUCAGAAACAGACUCCAUGAGGGCGGUAUGAGUGCCCAACGUCCAAAGGUGGGGGUUGUGCUUACAGCCCAACACCGUGCAGGACGUUUGGCAUUUACCAGAGAACACCAAGAUUGGCAAAUUCGCCACUGGCGCCCUGUGCUCUUCACAGAUGAAAGCAAGUUCAUACUGAGCACAUGUGACAGACGUGAGAGUCUGGAGAUGCCGUGGAGAACAUUCUGCUGCCUGCAACAUCCUUCAGCAUGACUGGUUUGGCAGUGGGUAAGUAAUGGUGUGGGAUGCCAUUUCUUUGGGGGGCCGCACAGCCCUCCAUGUGCUCGCCAGAGGUAGCCUGACUGCCAUUAGGUACCAAGAUGAGAUCCUCAGACCCCUUGUGAGACCAUGUGCAAGACAAUGCUGGACCUCAUGUGGCUGGAGUAUGUGAGCAGUUCCUGCAAGACGAAAGCAUUGAUGCUAUGGACUUGCCUGCCCGUUCCCCAGACCUAAAUCCAAUUGAGCACAUCUUGGACAUCAUGUCUCGCUCCAUCCACCAACAUCACGUUGCACCACAGACUGUCCAGGAGUAUUUCAGGCUUUUACUGAAUUUGCUUCAUGCUAGUAUGAUAGGCAGGUGAUUUAGAUGUGAUUGUUGUUUAAAUUCUCAGGCUGUUCUUUUGCAUACGUAAUUCAGUCAGCUAUUCUAUUCUUGCUAGGCUUCAUGUCACAUUGAGUUACAUGCAUAUCCUUAUGUAAAGUCGCUCCAUAUCUACUCCUUCCCGGUCGUUGCAUAUCUGGGGCCGAUUGUCAGUUAUGGUCAACUGUGUCUUUAUUAUGCUGUUCAAUUUCCAUCAGUUAGGUCGACAACUGUUGUCACUAGAGUAAUUUGGUGUUCUAAGCACAGGAAAAUACUUAUUUUAUCUACUUUUCUGGCACAGACUGUUGAUAAACAAUUGUUCAAUGUUAGUAAUUGUGAACACAAGUUAUCAUGGAUAACUCUCAGGUUAUGGUUAAUUUAAUCACUGUACGAGUAUUUCUUUGCCCUUUAUUAGAUAUUCACGUAUUACAAUUAACUUUCAUUUAUCAUACAGGUAUACAUCUAUUUAAUCAUGUCACUCGUGAAUUAUUUCGUAUUUCACAAUUUCUAUCACCACGCAAGUGAUUUGCUUUUUUUACGAUAAUACCUCCCUACGUACAACAACCACUUACUCUACAAAAUGCUAUAAUUAUCUUGGUCUGGCUGUAAGGGUACCCCAGGUGGCCAUAGGUAGUUUUCGGCCUCUUGUGCCAUUACAUCGCUGUCCUGUGAGGCCAACUCAGCAAACGUAUUUCACCCCUUGUGCCAAAUCAUAGUUACUGCCUCGCUACUCUGCCCUCUUGGCAAAGCAGUUAGGGCCAAUUUAUCAUAUAUCUCUUUAGCUCUCACUGAGCCAACAACCCGCCACAAUGCUCAGUGGCAAACCUACCCCACAGGUCAAAUCAUAGGUAGAGCAUCUCAUCGCCACUUGGCAACUAGUUAGGUUCCCAAAUCACCAAUUUAGCUUAAUCAUUUUGCUACUUGGCUUAAUAAGUGUCAGCCAUUACCUGGGUGUUAUACAGCAUCUCCCAUUAAAAAACUGUUUCUCUUUCAGGUAUGGUUAUAAUGUUGAUAAAUAUUUAAGUAUUGAUUAUGUAAGGUCAACACGUAAUAAGUUGUAAACUAUUAAACUUUUGCCCUCUUUUUACAGGCCUACUCCAACGUCGGCUCCCGCACACCACAACUGACUUAUGCCACUACUACUAUGACUUGGCUUAUUGUCCCCGACCACAAAUAGAAGGCUGAGCCUGUGGGUGAAGCCUGGAAUUGUGCAGGGGUUAGUUUGCCUAUAAAUAUACAGGCUUCCCCUUCCUCUGUCCUGUUGCUGCCUGGUUCAGCCCAGCCACCUCUCCCUUUAUCAAAAAACAUUCAAUUUGGUUGGCCCUCUUUUUACAGGCCUACCCAAACGUCGGUUCCCGCACACCCCAACCGACUUAUGCCACUACUACUAUAACUCGGCUUAUUGUCCCUGACCAUAAGUGUGUGUGUAUAUAUAUAUAUAUAUAUAUAUAUAUAUAUAUAUAUGUUGUGAUCCUUGUCUGCAGUUAGCAUGGUCCUUUUGGGUACAAACAUGCACAGUCUUUAAAAGUAACUUAAUUCCAGGCACUUUAUUGUUAAGCUCCACCACAGAGACAGCAGCAAAUGAAAAAAACAAUGUAACACAAAUCCCUAUAAACAAAAACCUAGCUCGUCUGAGCAUUUACUAACUUCAGACUCCCUAUCUCUCAGGGGUUAAACUAUAACAAAACAAUAUUGGUUUCACCAACCUAGUGUCUUUUUCAGCUCUCAGCACUCCAGUGUUUAGUCAGCCUGCUGCUUCCAGCCCUUCAAGAGAGAAACAAACAUUCCCCCCUACCUGCCUAGCAGGGAGGGUUUUAUUCCCACUGCUGCAGCUGAUUACCUGCAGCUGAGCAGUGGGUUGGAGACAGUCCAAACCCUGGUCUGGACCUAGUCUUCCAAGAAAAAACAAACAGCGGAGUGGAGCACUGGCCCAUCCUUCUCUCCAAAUGCUCCACCCCAGGGGCCCAUAACUAAAUAUGCAUUUACGUUAUAUACAUACACACACUCCCCCUGGGGUUACAGAUCAUAUACCUCUCUGAACAAUGCAGAUGAAAUAUAAACUCCCUCACAGACCACCCCAUUCAUAUAUAUACACUGUUAAAAAAAAUAAAGGGAACACUUAAACAACACAAUGUAACUCCAAGUCAAUCACAUUUCUGUGAAAUCAAACUGUCCACUUAGGAAGCAACACUGAAUGAUAAUCAAUUUCACAUGCUGUUGUGCAAAUGGGAUAGACAACAGGUGGAAAUUACAGGCAAUUAGCAAGACACCCCCAACAAAGGAGUGGUUCUGCAGGUGGUGACCACAGACCACUUCUCAGUUCCUAUGCUUCCUGGCUGAUGUUUUGGUCAGUUUUGAAUGCUGGUGGUGCUUUCACUCUAGUGGUAGCAUGAGGCAGAGUCUACAACCCACACAAGUGGCUCUGGUAGUGCAGCUCAUCCAGGAUGGCACAUCAAUGCGAGCUGUGGCAAGAAGGUUUGCUGUGUCUGUCAACGUAAUGUCCAGAGCAUGGAGGUGCUACUAGGAGACAGGUCAGUACAUCAGGAGACGUGGAGGAGGCCGUAGGAGGACAACAACUCAGCAGCAGGACCGCUACCUCCGCCUUUGUGCAAGGAGUAACAGGAGGAGAACUGCCAGAGCCCUGCAAAAUAACCUCCAGCAGGCCACAAAUGUACAUGUGUUUGCUCAAACGGUCAGAAACAGACUCCAUGAGGGCGGUAUGAGUGCCCAACGUCCAAAGGUGGGGGUUGUGCUUACAGCCCAACACCGUGCAGGACGUUUGGCAUUUACCAGAGAACACCAAGAUUGGCAAAUUCGCCACUGGCGCCCUGUGCUCUUCACAGAUGAAAGCAAGUUCAUACUGAGCACAUGUGACAGACGUGAGAGUCUGGAGAUGCCGUGGAGAACAUUCUGCUGCCUGCAACAUCCUUCAGCAUGACUGGUUUGGCAGUGGGUAAGUAAUGGUGUGGGAUGCCAUUUCUUUGGGGGGCCGCACAGCCCUCCAUGUGCUCGCCAGAGGUAGCCUGACUGCCAUUAGGUACCAAGAUGAGAUCCUCAGACCCCUUGUGAGACCAUGUGCAAGACAAUGCUGGACCUCAUGUGGCUGGAGUAUGUGAGCAGUUCCUGCAAGACGAAAGCAUUGAUGCUAUGGACUUGCCUGCCCGUUCCCCAGACCUAAAUCCAAUUGAGCACAUCUUGGACAUCAUGUCUCGCUCCAUCCACCAACAUCACGUUGCACCACAGACUGUCCAGGAGUUGGCAGAUGCUUUAGUCCAGGUCUGGGAGGAGAUCCCUCAGGAGACCAUCCGCCACCUCAUCAGGAGCAUGCACAGGCGUUGUAGGGAGGUCAUACAGGCACGUGGAGGCCACACACACUACUGAGCCUCAUUUUGACUUGUUUUAAGGACAUUACAUCAAAGUUGGAUCAGCCUGUAGUGUGUUUUUCCACUUUAAUUUUGAGUGUGACUCCAAAUCCAGACCUCAAUGGUUUGAAAAAUUUGAUUUCCAUUUUAAAAUUUUUGUGUGAUUGUGUUGCCUGCACAUUCAACUAUGUAAAGAACAAAGUAUUUCAGAAGAAUAUUUAAUUCAUUCAGAUCUAGGAUGUGUUAUUUUUGUGUUCCCUUUAUUUUUUUGAGCAGUGUGUAUAUAUAUAUAUAUAUAUAUAUAUAUAAUGUCAUUCUAAAUGUAUUUUGAAUUUAAUAUAUAUGUAUAUUAAUAUCAAAGUAUAGUUUGAACAAAUUAGAAAUAGUAUAAAAGUUUAUUUGUAUUUGUAUUAUUUUUUAUAUUAUUUAUAUUCCGGCCAUGUGAUCGCAAGGACCCCACGAUCACAUGGGGGUGGGGCAGGAUCGGGGAUAGGAGGUCUGCCUGGAAGCAGACCGCAUUAUCGCGACGGCCGUUGGGGGAAUGACGGAGACCUGGUAAGUACAAAGGACGACGGGGAUGUUCUAUGUAGCCUGCCGGCAUUUAGGACCACCGCAAAAAGGACAACAUAGAACGCUCGCCGUCUUUAAGGGGUUAAUAUAUCUUUGUAAAAUCCUCAGAUGAAGAAUCUUAUUAUUGUAACCACAGCCAGUAACAUAGAUUUUAGAAGGGCUAACAAUACAGAUAUCUUAGCCAUAAUAUUAUAUAGUUAAUAAGAGUUCCUCUAUUUAAAAUAUAUAAAUAAUUGAGAAUACAAUAUAAAAUAGGGAUUGUCUUGAAAGCAAUAAAGUUUUGUAUAUUUAAAUAUUUUAUUAAAUAUAAAUAUAAAUAUAAACAUCUAAAACCUUAAUAAUCCAUUACAAUAAUUUAUAGCGGAGUUUAUAAGAUUAAAGUAUAUGCUUGCAAUAUCAGUAACAUAGAAUAACAUUCAAACAGUGGUUGGUGUUAAUUUUCACAUACUCAUUGUGAAUACACUAUUGACUAGAGUCAGUACAUAGCAUAUAAAUGUGUAGUGAAUGAACUGGUAUUGAUCUAAUCAAGCCUGCUUUUGUUCAACAUAUGAUCAAGUUGCUUUGGCAUUUAAGUUCAUACAAUGUUUCCUCUUUUGUCCCAUUGUUUUUAGCUCCCUGGAAUUAAACCAAAACAUCUUCCUGGUACGAGAAUAAACUAGACUUGUGAGAACUAGGGCAAUCUUUAAUGUUAAGGGGAUAUGUGAAUGGCAAAUAAGUGAUUGUUUAUCCACUUAAUUAUAUAUUAAAACAAUAACAUUCUAGUGUCACAGAUGUGAUCUUCCUUAAAGCAGCACUCCCACCUUGAUAACACUUAAAGGGACACUAUAGUCACAAACAAGUUUAGCUUAAUGAAGCAGUUUUGGUGUAUGAAUCUACCCCCUGCAGCCUCACUGCUCAAUUCUCUACCAUUUAGGAGUUAAAUACCGUAUAUACUCGAGUAUAAGCCGACCCGAAUAUAAGCCGAGGCCCCUAAUUUUACCCCAAAAAACUGGGAAAACUUAUUGACUCGAGUAUAAGACUAGGGUGGGAAAUGCAGCAGCUACUGGUAAAUUUCUAAAUAAAAUUAGAUCCUAAAAAAAUUAUAUUAAUUGAAUAUUUAUUUACAGUGUGUGUAUAUGAUGAAUGCAGUGUGUGUGUAUGCGUGCGCAGUGUGUAUAAAUGCAGUGUGUAUAUGAGUGCGCAGUGUGUGUGUAUGAGUGCAGUGUGUGUGUAUGAGUGCAGUGUAUGUGUGUAUGAAUGCAGUAUGUGUGUAUGAGUGCAGUGUGUGUAUGAAUGCAGUGUGUGUGUAUGAAUGCAGUGUGUGUGUGUAUGAAUGCAGUGUAUGUGUGUAUGAAUGCAGUGUAUGUGUGUAUGAGUGCAGUAUGUGUAUGAGUGCAGUAUGUGUAUGAGUGCAGUAUGUGUAUGAGUGCAGUAUGUGUAUGAGUGCAGUAUGUGUAUGAGUGCAGUAUGUGUAUGAGUGCAGUAUGUGUAUGAGUGCAGUAUGUGUAUGAGUGCAGUGUGUGUGUAUGAAUGCAGUGUGUGUGUAUGAAUGCAGUGUGUGUGUGUGAUGCAGUGUGUGUUUGUGUUGCAGAGCCUUGGUGGGGGGUGGGCAUUUUUAUAAAAAAAAAAAAUAUUAUUAUUUACAUUUUUUUUUGUUAUAUUAUUAUUUUUUUAAUAAUUUUUUUAUUAUUAUUUUUUUUAUUAUUAUUUAUGUAUUAUUAUUUUAUUUAGUUUUUAGUUCAUUUUUUUGUUAUAUUAUUAUUUUGUUUAUUAUUAUUAUUUUUUUAUUAUUUUUAUUUAUAUAUUAUUAUUUUAUCUAUUUUUUGUCCCCCCUCCCUGCUUGAUACAUGGCAGGGAGGGGGGCUCUCCUUCCCUGGUGGUCCAGUGGCAUUGGCAGUUCAGUGGGGGGAGGAGGGGGGCUGGCAGAGCUGUUACUUACCUCUCCUGCAGCUCCUGUCAGCUCCUGUCAGCUCUCUCCUCCUCCGCGCCGGUCCGUGCAGCUCCUCUCUCAGCUCACACUGUAAGUCUCGCGAGAGCCGCACUAUGACCCCGCGGCUCUCGCGAGACUUACACUGGGAGCUGACCGAGGUGCUGACCGGACCGGCGCUGAGGAGGAGAGAGCUGACAGGAGCUGCAGGAGAGGUAAGUAACAGCUCUGCCAGCCCCCAGUCUGUAUUAUGGCAAUGUAAAUUGCCAUAAUACAGACUGACUCGAGUAUAAGCCGAGUGGGGGUUUUUCAGCACAAAAAAUGUGCUGAAAAACUCGGCUUAUACUCGAGUAUAUACGGUAACUUUGUUUAUGCAGCCCUAGUCAUACCUCACUGCAUGUGACUUACACAGCCUUCCUUAUAUUUCCUUUUUUUGCAAAUUCUGUUUAAUUUAGAAUGUAUCUCCUGUUCUGUUAAUAGCUUUCUAGAUCCUGCAGGAGCCUUCUUUAUGUAUCGAACGUUCGAUUUACAGAGCAGGAAAUAACUUUUAAAGCAAGCUACAUCUGAUUGAAAAUGAAACAAUUUUGUUUUCAUGCAGGCUGUGUCAGUCACAGACAGGGGAGGUACGUGGCUGCAUAAACAGAAAAAGAAAAAGUGAUUAACUCUUAAAUGAGGCAUGAUUUAUACACAAAUACUGCUUCAGUAAGCUAAAGUUGUUUUGGUGCCUGUAAUGUCCCUUUAAUUUAAUUUGUUAUGGGGUAUGUUGUCUGGGCACUAUCUUACCUGUCCACAUCUGUCCCAGUAACAACUGCUGAUACGGAGGUGGGAGUGUCCCUCUAAAGCCAGAAAAAAAUUUGAGAAUAAAUAACUAGAGAAUGAGCUGUAGUGUGCUGCUCAGCUGUGAACUCACCGUUUAGUUACCUAUUAAAUAUUUUUCAUAAACUUCUACACACAUAUAAAUUGCAUCUGUGUAUACUGUGAUUUUUUUUGCUGUUAGCUUAUACUUUGCACUUUUAUACUAUUAAUGCUAGUUAAUAAAUUACGUGGGGGAAAAAAAUAUACUCGUUUAUUAAAAAGUGAUUUUAAAGCUAAUGUACAAUGUUCAUCAUCCCUCUAGUGCUACAAGUAUAAUAAUUAUUGAUAAUUUAUUAGUGGGCUAAAAUGAUGGCAUCUGAAUUAACAGAACGUUUUAUGGCAUAGGGAACCUCCAUCCCAUCCCAUUCCUAGAAUAGGAAAUGGACUAAAAACUGUAGGGGCAGCUGCAGUUAUUUUAAUCUAUUACAUAGUUACAUAGUUACAUAGCUGAAAAGAGACUUGCGUCCAUCAAGUUCAGCCUACCUCACAUUUGUUUUUUGCUGUUGAUCCAAAAGAAGGCAAAAAAAACCAGUUUGAAGCACAAUUUUGCAACAAGCUAGGAAAAAAAUUCCUUCUUGACCCCAGAAUGGCAGUCAGAUUUAUCCUUGGAUCAAGCAGUUAUUACCCUACAUUGAAAGAUUAUAUCCUUGAAUAUUGUGUUCUUGCAAGUAUGCAUCUAGUAGCCGUUUGAACAUCUGUAUGGACUCUGAUAAAACCACUUCCUCAGGCAGAGAAUUCCACAUCCUGAUUGUUCUUACAGUAAAAAAACCUCUCCUUUGCCUUAGACGAAAUCUUCUUUCUUCCAGUCUAAACUCAUGUCCUCGUGUCCUAUGUUAUCUAUAUUAACCUAUACCACACAAAACGUAUUAGUUACAUAGCUGAAAAGAGACUUGCGUCCAUCAAGUUCAGCCUUCCUCACAAAUGUUGUUGCUGUUGAUCCAAAAGAAGGCAAAAAACCUGGUCUGAAGCGCUUCCAAUUUUGCCACAAACUAGGAAAAAAUUCCUUCUUGACCCCAAAAUAGCAGUCAGAUGUCUCCUUGGAUCAAGCAGCUAUUACACCACUAAUUAGAAAUUGUAUCCCUGUAUGUUAUGUUUUUGUAAGUAUUUAUCCAAUUUCAGUUUAAACAUCUGUAUGGACUCUGACAAAACCACCUCUUCAGGCAGAGAAUUCCAUAUCCUUGUUGUUCUUACUGUAAAAAAAACUUUUUCUUUGCCUUAGAUAAAAUCUCAAUUCUUCCAGUGUGACCUUGUGUCCUAUGUAUAAACCUGUUUAUGAAUAGAUUUCCAUAUAAAGGUUUAUACUGGCCACGAAUAUAUUUGUAUAAAGUUAUCAUAUCCCCUCUCAGGCGCCAUUUUUCCAAACUAAACAGAUUUAAUUUUUUUAACCUUUCUUCAUAACUAAAAUGCUCCAUUCCUUUUAUCAAUUUUUUAGCUUGUCUCUGGACCCUCUCCAGUGCCAUGAUAUCCUUCUUUAGAACAGGCGCCCAAAAUUGCACAGCAUAUUCAAGGUGUGGUCUUACCAACGAUUUAUAAAGAGGCAAAAUUAUAUUUUCAUCCCGAGAAUUUAUGCCCCUAUUUAUACAUGACAAAACCUUACUGGCCUUAGCAACUGCAGAUUGACAUUGCAUAUUGCUGCCUAAUUUGUUGUCUAUAACAAUUCCCAAAUCCUUCUCGUGUGUGGUUAUCCCUAAUUCACUACCAUUUAGUGUGUAAGUUGCUUGUGCAUUCUUAACCCCGAAGUGCAUAACUUUGCAUUUCUCUAUGUUAAAUUUCAUCUGCCAUUUUAGUGCCCAGUCCCCCAAUCUAUCCAAAUCUCUCUGCAGCAAAGCAAUAUCCUGCUCACAUUUUAUUACUUUACAAAGUUUUGUGUCAUCUGCAAACACUGAUACAUGGCUUUCAAUGCCUAUUUCAAGAUCAUUUAUAAAUAUGUUAAAUAGAAGUGGUCCCAAAACAGAACCCUGAGGGACACCACUUACCACUUUUGUCCAGCCUGAAAAUGUACCAUUAAUUACAACUUGUUGUACUCUAUCCUUAAGCCAAUGUUCUACCCAAGAACAAGAAUAUUCAUCUAGACCAAUUUCUUUUAGUUUGAAGACUAACCUAUUGUGAGGAACCAUAUCAAAUGCCUUGGCAAAAUCCAAGUAGAUCACAUCCACUGCAACACCCUGAUCUAUACUUCUACUUACUUCUUUGUAGAAUGCAAUUAGGUUAGUUUGACAUGACCGAUGUUUCAUAAAACCAUGCUGAUUAUUGCUAAUAACAAAGUUCUUCCCAAUGAAUUCCUGAAUAUUAUCCCUUAAUAGCCCUUCAAAUAUUUUCCCAGUUACAGAAGUUAAGCUCACAGGUCUAUAAUUUCCAGGCAAGGAUUUUGAACCCUUUUUAAAUAUAGGAACAACAUCUGCCUUCCUCCAAUCCUCCGGUACAACACCUGAAACAAAAGAAUCUUGAAAAAUUAAAUACAGAGGUUCACUUAUUUCCCCACUUAGCUCCUUAAGUACUCGUGGGUGAAUUGUAAGGAUUACUGUUUGAUCCAGCACGUAGAACUGUACAGCACGGAUGACAAAUAAGUAACGUAUUACCGGUCCUUAGAAUGGCCGGAUUUAACGUACAAAGAAUAGUCAAAAAUACUAGCCGAGGUCAGGGAACACAGAAAGGGACACAGUGAUGAGGAAAGCCAGGAGUCAGGAUACCAGAAUAUAGAGAAGUCAAUAAACAAAGCCAAAGUCAAAAAACAGGUAGAAAACUAAAAACAGGAACGCUUUCUCGGACAACCACAAGGGAAACCACGACAGGGCACUGAGCAGGCUGAGAACUGGGCCUAAAUACCCCUCCUUUCUUUCUGAUAGGCUGUAACCGGCCUUUGACCCCAAAGUCAGUUACCAGGUUUCAUUUGCAUAAUUGCUGCUCAGCAUUAACCCUUCUGUGGAUUAGGUUGCUGCUCGGCACAACUUUUCCUGUGUGGACAGUAAAUGUCAUUAACCACUUUUCUAUAAGCGGAUGAAUACAUGAGACCAGGUUUCAUUUGCACAAUUACUGCUCAGCAUUAAACCUUCUGUGGAUUAGGUUGCUGCUCGGCACAACUUUUCCUGUGUGGACAGUAAAUGUCAUUAACCAAAUUUCUAUAAGCAGAUGAAUACGUGACAUGAAUACCAUCAGGACCCGGAGCUUUAUUUACAUUAAUAUAAAGUCAUACAUCAAAUUGAUUUGUAAUAAAGCAAGUGAUUGCCCACGCAGGGGCUUAAGCAUUGGUUUAACACUGCAUAUACAUUUGGUUGCCUGCGUAGAGGCGGAUUUGUCCUAGCCUGUGUUUUUUGUUCACAGUUGGUUGCUUUGUGUUUUAUACUCUUAUGUACUGUGUUGCCUUUUUAGUUCGGUUAUAGUGUUAAGUAAGUGUUUUAAGUUAACUGGUGUGUGCCAGGGCUGCGUGUUUGCUAGUUGGUAAAUGCAAAUUGUCGCCUGUGCAGAGGUAAAUUAAUCAGCUUGCUAAUUGGAGUCAGACAUUAAGCAAUAAUCUAAGAUACAAAAACUUUUUCAACUAUCUGGUUAGCGCUCUAAACGUACGGUACAUCUGUGCUUAAAACUUGGCUUUUAACUAUUAAACAUUAGGAUGCACGUAGCUGAUAGCCUUAUUUGUGGUUAAUAUAUUAUGGCAUAUGUUUCUUGUCAUUAAUUAAGCGUUGAUAGUUAGCGCUGUGUUAAGUAGCUAUUAGCAUUGUGACAUUGCCCUAUCAACUGCACAUCAGGCAUGCUGCGAAAUAUAUGUACCAAUAUUAAAGAGUGUAUCCUAUGUACAGCUGCUUAUGCACAUGGAAACAUUAGCGUGGUUAGCUCUAACAACAUGAAUUUACACUUUUAACAGUAAGAGCAUUUGUGUCUAUGUUAAGGCGCUUUUGUGUGUCCCCUAUAUGUACUCGCUAUCCAGGCCCAUGGGCGUAAUAAGAAACAUUUUAUUUUCUGCAUGGGCCGUACAUGCUUGUCCUAUCUGGUUAGCGCUCUAAACGUACGGUACAUCUGUGCUUAAAACUUGGUUUUUAACUAUGAAACCUUAGGAUGCACGUAGCUGAUAGCCUUAUUUGUGGUUAAUAUAUUAUGGCAUAUGUUUCUUGUCAUUAAUUAAGCGUUUAUAGUUAGCGCGGUGUUAAGUAGCUAUUAGCAUUGCGACAUUGCCCUAUCAUCUGCACAUCAGGCAUGCUGCGAAAUAUAUGUACCAAUGUUAAAGAGUGUAUCCUAUGUACAGCUGCUUAUGCACUUGGAAACAUUAGCGUGGUUAGCUCUAAUAACAUGAAUUUACACUUUUAACAGUAAGAGCAUUUGUGUCUAUGUUAAGGCGCAGUAAUAUAUAGUGCGGUAAUCAAGCAAUUAGGUAAGUAGUAUUAAAUAACCCUGACAGUAUAUACGCUGCUACAUUGAUUUAAGAGAGUAGUUUUUCAUUACUCUGACGGAGGUUUCUUGCUCUCUUGCAGGUAUGAUUGGUCCUUAGGGGAACAAUAGUGCCCAAGGUUAAGUCUUAUUGGUGCGGUAUCGCCUACAGCACAUUAGGUUUCAGGCUGAGAUAUGGUUACGAGUACAGCCAUCUUAUAGCGUAUCAGUCUGGUGUAAUUUCAAAAUGCGCAGUACAGGAAUAGGAGCAGGUAGAGAGUAAACAUUAUUAACAAUAUGUCGCCUUGUGUAGAAAGCUGAGGGAGGCCUCACAUGUCUUUGCUGCAGUGCAGUCCUCAGGUUGCCGAGCCUUUGUCCGUCCUCCCCACUCUGGCACCAGUUCACAGGCCGGGUCCUCCGCGGCACCGUGGGCACUCAGGGGCAGUGAUUGCCUGCCAGAUCCCACCACAAAGUCUGCGGCACCCCCCCAGCGUCACGUUGUUCCCCCUGGAGCGAGCAUUCCCACGUCUCUCCCAGUGCCGGCCUCACACUUAAGGCUGGUACUCCGCCCCCACGGCCACCGGUCCGCCGGUAGGGCGGUGCACUCCCGCCUCACAGGGCUCGCAGCAGUGGGGACGUGAUUCUCUGGGGACCCCCAUACCCAGAGACUGGGGUACUCACUGCUCUAGCCAGCUUGUGGGCCGCGCGGAGUGUCCGUCUGGUGUCCAGCAUCACCUGGGCCUGCACAGGCCGUCCAUGUCAGUCCCCUGUGCUUUAUUCCACUGUGGUCCUCAGGGUGUAAUGGGUUGUGCUGAAAUGUCUCUAUAUAGGUGCAGGUGUUAUUCCUCGCAUCUGUUUCAGAGAUAUCCAGCCAAUGCUCACUGCUAGUUCAUGGUCUGUGUGCCUCCCUGCAAUAUUUCCUUUUCCUCUGCUUCAGGGUCAACUCCUGCUGGCUUGCUGUUCCUCAUACAGCUGUUUGCCAGUAUAGGCGGCCAGCGUGCGCCCCACGUGGGAGCUCCCCCUGUGGCGCCAGUCGCCGCCAUGCGCCAGUCCUUCCACCGGCCAAGAGGGGGGGGGCAGGGCCGGGCCGGGGGCAAGUCCACAUCUGGCGGUCCUGUCCCCCAUUCAUAUGUCUCGGGGCUGUGCCUUUCUGUGGCGUAGAGCUGCAUGUGCUGGCUGCGGGCGUUUGGGUGUCUUGUAGGCCUGGCGUGGCCUCUCUCGCUCACCCCGCCCGCGGCAUGUUGUUUGUCGGGAUCUGAAGAUAGCUGGGGUUGUUCCCCUUCCCCAGCUGCCACGGCACCCGGUGUUUGGGUGUUCCGGAUCGGCUUUUUGGGCUCUUUUGCUCUGAUUAGUGCCGGAGCCCAUGUAAAUGGCGUCUGGUCGGCCCGGCGGCCCGGCCCCGCCCCCUCACAAGUUAUUUGCAAGUUUUUUGCAGCAAUCAUUUGCAUAUCUCUUGCCAUAGGAUCCUCAUUAAUAUAUAUUGAAGAAAAAUAGUUAUUUAAAAUGUCUGCUUUUUCCUGGUCUUCAUUAGCUAAUAAACCCAACUCUGUUUCAAGUGUACCUACACUUUCAUUUUUUGUUUUUUUAGAAUUGAUGUACUUGAAAAAAAUUUUGGGGUUGGUUUUGCAUUCUUUAGCUAUCAAUUUCUCAUUUUCUAGUUUAGCCACUUUAAUUGCCUUUUUGCAAGCGUUAUUGGCUUCCUUAUAUCUUAAAUAGGAUGCCUUUGAUUUGUCUGAUUUAAAUGCUUUAAAUGCCCUUUUCUUAUUUUUAAUCUCUUGUUUUACUUCUCUACUAAGCCACAUUGGUUUUAAUUUGUUUCUUUUAUAUUUAUUACCCAAUGGUACAUACUGAGAAAUGUACCUUUCUGAUAUCUGUUUGAAUAGUUUCCAUUUAUCCUCAGUGUUUUUAUCACUAAGGAGUUUAUGCCAGUCGAUAUGUUGUAGAGCUGCCCUAAUCUUAUUGAAAUUGGCUUUUUUUAAAUUAUAUGUUUUAGUAUACCCCACUUGCUUUUGCUUUUUUGAGUUUAUUUCAAAAUUUACCAUAUUGUGAUCACUAUUUCCCAAAUGCUCCCCUACUUGAAUGUUGGUUAAAAGAUCAACAUUGUUUGUUAUGACAAGAUCCAGACAAGCAUCCUUUCUAGUUGGUGCUUGUACCAGUUGUGGCAUAAAGGUGUCAUUUAACAGAUUCAAAAGCCUGAUGCCCCUUGCUGAAGUACUAGUCCCUCUUUCCCAAUUUAUGUCUGGAUAAUUAAUGGACUCCUGCUUUUUUUUUUUUUUUUUAAACCACCACACUUUCACACAUUGUUUUUGAAAUAUAAAUGCACCUUAGUUGCUGCAUCUUUGCAUAUAGGGAGCCCUUGGAAACCCUUCCUAAUUUUUUUAAACUUCAUUUUUAAUAUUAAUCUGUUUGCGGCUGAUUCCUUUCACCAACAUUUUAAAAGCAUGGUUUGUGUAUUGUUUAAGCUUUUCAUGGAAGAAAAUGUGCAUCUUACUGUACUGCAUUGAUUUGAAGAUGUGGUAAGUAUUGAGAACAAACUGAUUCUGUUUAUUUAAAAUUAGUUAUUUUUAGAAAUUACCAUAUGUUACAUAACAGUUAGAAUUAGUAGGCUUUGAAUGGCGGUAUGCAACUCAUUUACUGCUGAUACCAAUAGGACAUAUUCAUGUUCAAUCCUUAUUCUGAUCCCAUAUACUUCUACCACUAAUGCCCCAACUUCUUUUAUACAUCUACAGUUUCUGAUUACUGACCUUGAUUUGUAAUGCAAUUGUGUUUUAUUUGGGUUAAACCAUUGAGAAACAACUUGGGAUACAGUGGAGAUUUAUAUGUUUUAUCUUCUUUCUCUAAAUACAAAGGGCUUAUUUCUGCUGUGAAAAAGAAAACAAUCACAUACUAUAACUUUUCUUGGUAUAUACGUUUGUAUAGUUUUGUAUAUAACCACUGCUUUUAAUAUACUAACCAUUUGAACCAUAAUUUUCAUUUCUACACAAUCUUACAACCUCAAUGUCUUAUCCUUGUUUAGAAACUGUUGCAAAAUGUUGCAAAUUUCCAGAGAAUUCAUGGAUUUUCAUGGAAUGAAAGUACCAGCAACAGUUCACACUGAAGAGAGCCUAAACUAUGCAUGGAAAGAGUUUCAAACACGUGAUGAUGAUAUUUUUAAUGUAACAUUUCCCAAAUCAGGUAAGAUGUUUAGUUUGUAUUUAAGGUUCGAUAAGCCAACCCCUUACUGCCAUUGAGAUAAUUAAGAAUCUUAUUUUUCCUGACAUGGUGGCAGUACAAUAGGGAUGUACUCUUCCCUCGGGACAAGCAUCUAAAAUAAAUUAACAUAAAAAGUUCCUCCCCUUACCAGGUAUAAGAGACCAAACCAGCCCUGGGAUCUCAGUUCUCUUUCUUGUUCCAUCAGGAAUAGACGGCAUCUGGAAUGAGAUGGUGAGGCACAUGGGUUUCUGCCAGGGGGAUCCGGUCUGAUAGCGUCCCUGGUGGAGAGCUGAAUGGCCAGCAAGCAUCCUACAGGAUUACGGAGCAGGUAUGGGAAGCUUGCUUAAUGCCGAGUGCAGUCACAGGCGAAGC
rnacentral:lncRNA from 1 species